rnacentral:tRNA from 1 species
AAAAAAAACAUUUCUUUUUCUGUGAAAAAAAAAAAAACUUUUUUUUUAUAAAUAUUUUUUAAAAAGA